CAUUCACAAACGGCAACCACGGAAAACCGGUUCCUAAAUGUGGACCGGUGCAAAUAAAAGCAGUAGGUUUAUUCGUUUUGACAGGCAUCAACCCUCAUCCCUACCCAAAGUAGUGGUGAAACAUUACGAUGUAGAAAGACGCACUAUAAAAUAUCAGUUGAAAUGGCUUAACUGAAUCAAAAACACAACAAAAGCACAUACUUACAAA
rnacentral:lncRNA from 1 species